rnacentral:SRP_RNA from 1 species
UGGAGUCAGGCUGCAUCCAACGUGGAGGUGCGAGCUGGGGAGCCCUGGUGGGCCAUGGUGGAUAAGAAGGAAUGGCCCCAGGGGAUGGAGCAGGAGGUUUUCAGCACGGGGCUGUGGGAUGAC